GGUCCCGCUGGGGUGAUGGACGAAGCCCGGGCUCCUGCCGGCCCAGCGCAAGUCUGGUCCAGGCCGGGCGGCGACUCCCGGCUCCCGCCCCUAGGUGGCACCAGCGCUAGAGCCCUCGGCUUCACCAGGGGUGCGGCCUUGCACAUGCGCGGCUCCCGUAGCCGCGUCUUCCCGGCGGGCCCUCCGCGCCUGCGCACCCGGCGCAGCCCGUGUAGUGUCGGCGGGUUUCCGGGAGUCGCGAGGGCGCCACGCAGCUUGCUCCCCGGCCUGCGUGCGGCCCGCCGGCCCAGCAGAGGGCGCCCGCCGGCACGACCCUCGGUUUCUAACCGCGGUUCUUCCCUUCCCUGCUCCGAAGUGAGGGAUUUACCCGAACUAGGCGGGUGGGGCGGCUGGAGGAGAAACUGCCUAACUGCCGGCCGAGGCGGCCCCCGCCCCAGGGGAGCCCGCCCUGCAGCCCGGGGCCGCGGCCGAGCGCAGCCCCGCCUGCGGCCUCGAGAGCGGAACCCGAGGACCCGGCGCGGCCAGAAGCUCUUCGGAGGAGCCAGCAUUAAGGCCGAGGGAGCGGCCGCGAGCCUCCCACUCCCACCGGACACUCCGCGACGGCAGUUAACACACCUGAACCCGUCCAUCCUCAACCUGUCAGUUGCACCGGGAAGCCUCCCCGCGGUCCCGCGCCCGUCCCCACCGCCCAGCCACGCAGUUCUGCAGUCACCACCUCAACGACCCGCUCCGAAACCCCACAGCCUCCUCUUGGUAGACCCGAGACACACACUGCCCGAGUCCACGCGGUCCUGCGCUCCCUUGCCGCCCCCGCGCAGCGUCGUGCUCCAGGCGGCCGCGGCACCCUGGGGCCCUAAUACUCAGUCCUGGGUCUCCAUCAACCCACACCCUUCCCCGGCAGUGGACCCGCAGCCUCCAGCUCGCCGUUUCCGCAGCCGUCUCCACGCCGAAUAUCCAGCUCCCACGGACGGUCCCACCGGGCGGCUCAGGCACACACACCCCCUCACCAGGUCUGAAACAGAAUUCAUCAUCGUCUUCCUCAAAACUGGCCUCGUGCAGACUUCCCCACAUUAGGUGAAUGGCACAGCCAUCCUGCCACCCUCCCCACCAAGAUGGAAGGCACCAACUGGGUAUCACACGCUGAUUUGAACAUCUGGCUGAUAACACAAGGGUGAGCGUAUCAGGCGAGACCUCUGCCUCAUCAGGGCUGGUCCAGUGAUCACGCGCGUUCCGACAGCGCUGGAAGAUGUGGAGGACGGGUACAGGGUACCAUAAGAGAGCACGACAGGAUGGGUCCCAGAGGUCGUGGAAGGCUUCCCGGGGGCAGUACCUAAGCUGUUUCCUGAAGAACGAGCAGGACUUCACUAGCCUGAGCAAUCUGGAGCCUCGUCCAGUCUGGCCUCUGGGAGAGGAAGCAGCUGCUCUCAACACCAGUGCUGUGGAGGCCAGCAGCACUUCCUCCAAAUCCAGCUCACAACCAAGAGCCCAAAUCUCGUUCCACCCCAAGGGUCGGCACCACGCGACGCGGCCAUAACUGGGCGCGCCCACCCCACAGGCCAGCGGCGAGCAAGGCCACGCUGGGCGAGGCAGGAAGGAGCCAGGUGACACGGCGAUGGCAGGCACUUACUCUGUCGCACAGGUCGGAGCCCUCCGUCUUCAGCCUGGACUGCAGCAGCGCCACCUCAGAGGCCAAGGCCUUGUGCUCCGUUUCCAGGCUCUUCUUGCCACUGUUGAGGGUGGACACGUCCCGGGACUGUUUGUACCUAUUGACUGUCUCAUCAAAGUGACGGUAGAGACCUAGUCUCUUGUUGACCAGGGUCAAGACCUGCUCUGUGAUGCAGGCCACCUUCAUCCUGGCUUCUGCAGCCGGAUCCUGGGGGAGAGACACCGUGUGUGAUGACAUCCAGCCCUGAGCCCACUGCGACCUUCUCCUCCCAAGGAGCACCCACCACUAGCACACAAACGAGAAAAGCCACCAUCUUGGAAAGUCAGAGAGUCACACUCUUGCCGACACUGACCCUGGAACGGUUCAGCAAUGGGCAGGACAGGGGACAGGAAGAUGAAGCAGAUGUUCACAACCAAGUCCAGCAGGACAGACACACUGGUAUAAAAGGGAUACUAAUGCCAGGGUGCACCGUGAGAGGGGUAUGAGGUGCUGAGGGAGGAGAAAUUCCAUCUCAGGCUGGGGAAGACUUCCAGGACGUGUUUCCAGGACUUAAAGGAUGAAGCCCAAGCUCCUUAGCCAGCCAAGGCCCUUCAGACGCAGCCCCAUGUACUCCCCAGAAUCCCUAACCAGUGGGCUACUGCAGAAGCCCUAACGGGGCAUGCUCAAAGGCUGACUCUGGCCUGCAGAAGGUCGAUUUGGCCCACAAUUAGUUUUUUUUUCCUCAGUAAAUUAUCAAAGCUUUAAAAUAGAGAUGUAUACACAGGAAAUCAGUUGAAUAAACUAUGACUUAUCCAUACAAGAGAGUCCUCUGCAGGUAUAAAAAAAUAACAAGGAAGAAAGCUCUCUAUGAACUGAUAUGAGUGAUUUUCAGGAUACGUUAGUUAAGUGAAAAAAGCAGUGAAAAAUAGAUAUGCUGUUGCUACCUUUUGUGUACAAAAGAAGAAAAUAAGAAUUAAAUAUCUGCCUAUUUUUGCAAAACAAAUCAGAAAGGCUACCUAGGGGACUGAUGAAAUUGUUCCCUACAAGGCAGGGUGGGACAGGGUGGAGGAAACCACACCAUUUUCAAGUUCUCAAUUUAGAACUUUGUUAGUGUUUUACGGUAUCACAACCAACAUUAAAUAUUACCAAUGAUGGAGGAAGAAACCAGAAUAAAAUUCAAGCAUCAAUGAACCUAAUACCUUUCAAAUGAGUAACCAGGGAAAGAAGAACAGAGCAACUACCUUGGGAUCACAGACUCUGACACUAUGGUCUCAAUCUAAAGACAAAAAGAGGGCUUCCCUAGUGGCACAGUGGUUGAGAAUCCACCUGCCAAUGCAGGGGACAUGGGUUCAAUCUCCGAUACCGGAAGAUCCUGCAUGCCAUGGAGCAACUAAGCCCGUGCACCACAACUACUGAGCCCACACUCUAGAGCCUGCGAGCCACAACGACUGAUCCCGUGUGCCACAACUACUGAAGCCCAGGAGCCUCGAGCCCGUGCUCCACAACAAGAGAAACCACCGCAACGAGAAGCCCACGCACCGCAACGAAGAGUAGCCCCCGCUUGCCGCAACUAGAGAAAGCCUGGACGCAGCAACGAAGACCCAAUGCAGCCAAAAAUAAAUAAAUAAAUAAAUUUAUUUUAAAAAAUAAAGACAAAAAGAACUGCCAAGAAACCUGGCGCUCUACUGGCAGGUUUGGUGUUUGGAGUGGUAUGAGUGCAGCAACUGUGGAACUGUUUUGUUUUGUUUAUAGACUUCAGCAAAUAAACAAACACACUGAUGUUGGGAUCCAGGCAAAGAACCCUGCGGUGUUAGACUGGAGUAACUCAUAUUUCAAAUACCACAUGUAUUUAUCUCCCGGCUCUGUCUGCUGAAAGGGCUGAGGAGCAGAGAUGCUCCAAGAGCAGUGAUCACAACCAGCUCCCAGAUCAUGGUCUCCAGGUACCAUUCUGCACUGAAAGGAACCGGAGCUCCUCGGAGAAGGUACAAGAUAUGCCGGAAACGUAUUGCUGCACACUACAAUAAGGAAGUGCACAAAAAUACGAUGUAGACGGAAAGACAGUCAAACCUGGGACACUUGAGCAUCAAAAGGAACGGCACAGUGGACAGUAAUCCAAUAAAAUAACACAUGAAUCCAAACGAAUAAUGAACCAACCAACCAACAAGAAAAGCUUUUCCUUAUAGUAGAAAACCACCUAGUAAGGUAAAAGGCACCAUAGUUUUUCAGCCACCACAACUAUCAGAUUCAGAUAAGAAUUAGUAAUAAAUACUGUAACUAAUGGGUGAAUAUAUAUGAUAUUUAUGUAGCCUCAAACAGAUUAUGUAUUAAUUGCAAAGAAAAAUAGUAACGUUACAGUGAAUAAACCAGGAAAGGCACCAACUCAACCAAGGAGAGUCAGUAUCACCAAGCCCGGACCAAAUGACAUCAGGUGCCUCCCGACGCGAUGCACUGCAGACACAGCACCACUUCAUAAUGUUCUUGCCAAAAAUGCAUAAUCUGCAUUUUCAAGGAGAAACAUAAGAAACCUAACGUACACACAAGGCCGAGGAAUGUCCCAGAUUAAAGCAGACUAAGGAAAUAUGACAACUAAAUGCAAUGCAUCAUCAACUGAAUUCUGAAGUAUGAAAAAGAAUGGCUAUAGAAGUUACCCUUGGGGCGAUCAGCAAAAUUUGAGCCUGGACUGGGUGCUGGUUGUUAUCAGAGCAACGUCACAUUCCGGACUUCGAUCAUCGUGCUCUGGCUCUAUGAAACGGGGCCCUUGGGGUCAGGCUGUGCACACGCCUAAGUAUUCAAGGGAGGCGGGCAACUUAAACGGCUCAGGAAGAGUACAUACGACAGAGAGGCCAAAUGUUAACCACUCCAUCCAGGUGAAGAGUGCACAAGAGUUCGUUUUACUAUUCUUGUAAAAUGUCUAAAUGCAGAAUUAUUUUAAAACUCGGGAUUUUUUAAAUUAAUAAAAAAGCAAUUUUUAUAGCUUAGGAAAUGGGGAUAUGUCACAGUAAAACCUAGACUCAGCCCUUCUGCGUGACAAGGUGAGCAGCUGCCCUGGUGGGACCCCUACCCCGGGGCAGCCUCGCUGGUCUAUGGAACCAGCCAGACCAACGUCCUUGCUCAUUCGUACCAACUGCCACCCACAGGCCCCAGCAAAAGCCUGCCAUGCCGUCCCACAAGCUGCUCCCUGAGCCAAAGGCCCCGCCCCACCUCUUCUGCCAGUCACUUCCCCGUGAGCCUUUCUGGGCACACGUUCUGCCCACCGCCUCUCCCCACGGAACUGGCCGCCAGCAGCAACCUGUCUCCUUCAACAGCGCAUGUCCGUGACCAUAGCAACAAAAGGAGGGGUCUCUAGGGUAACGGUCAGCUGAGGCCACGGACAGGGCAGAGGCGUAUGUCGCGCGGCCGGGCGCUGGGAAAGCGAGUCAAGCACGCACUGCAGACGGCCGAGUUGGGUACCUUUGUGAUGGAGAAGUCCAGCCUGACGUAGACGAUGACGGUGAAGAACAGGACGUAGAAGGCAGCCACCACCAGCAGGGGCUCCUGCAGCAUGAGCACCUUGUUGAAGGUGUAGUGCACCUGGGGGGAGCCAGGAACACACGCUGACACACGGGUCCACCCGGACUCGGAAACCUGGGGGCGAAGGGGCCUCGCCAGGCCUACAACUGUCCGGGCUGCCCCCGCCAUCAGCCCCACCCCCGCCCCCAGAGGCGGCUGUGCCCAAACCACUCCAGGCAAGGAGGAGAGGAUGGCAAGUCCCUGACCCUGCAGCCGCUGUCCGGGGAGGAGGCCUGGGAGGCAGGGCUGUGGAGCGCAUACCACCAUGUCCUGAAUGUGCUGCUCCACCAGGUUUUUCUUGUGGGCCACGAUCACGGGGCGGCCAAACGUGUCCAGGUAGGUGUAGUGCAGCUCAUCAGGGGCUCGGCUGAUCUCGUAGGGACUGUCCACUUGGAUGUUUCUAGAUGCCAAUGGGAGGAAACUGAGCCUCACACAAACUGCACUGACCAACUAGGUUCACAGUGAGGAUCCAAGGCUCGAGGGGUCUUCCAGGGUCACGAGCUCUACUCCACUCUGCUCCCCUCCCAUCACAGGGAACACCCAACCCCCUGAGACCGCGGACCCACUGUCAGAAAGCCCUGAGUGUGAGAAUGUUUUGUCGCCCAUGCCAAGGGCAGGGGGCCCUGUGGGUGUCACCUGGUUUCUGCCAAGUGGACUCCUAGAGACGCUGUGGCUCUGUCCUUUCCCAAGCCUGGUUCUUCAACUUAGGCCAACAUUUGAUGAGAUCCCUUACCCUUCCAGAUUCCUUCCUUUCUGCCUAAACUGGCCAAAGACAGCUCCCUCUGUUUAUAACCAUGGAACCUGAUAUCCAUCUGAGACCACCCUCCCCACACCUUCUGAACCUGGUGUGACACGCCCAGGACAAGACAAAGCCCUCUCCACUAUCCCUCCCCUUCCUAGGAGCACAGCCCAAGGCCACCCAGCUGCCUCAACUUUGCGGUUCUUUCCUUUUGCCAGUCACCUCAUCGGACUCAGGCCAUCACUCUGGCCUGCUAUGAAUCCUGCCCCUGUCACAGAAAGGGCUGUGUUGGGAUAGCUCAUAAGUGCAUCUUGUGCCCUCACUGAGUCAAAUGUCUCAGUUUAAACUCCACCGGAAGCCCCUCCUCUGUGCCCUAGAACCCAACGUCCCACUGAGGUGCCAAGAGGGCACCACCAGGAAGGGAGACAGGAAGGGAGGUCAGACUCACUUGGCCCCUUCUGGCAGGAUGAUUUUCACAGUCAGAGAGUCUAUCACUUGUUCAUCAAACACGUGGUCCACAAGCCUCAUCUUCAAUGCAUACUGGUCUCCUGGAGGGUCAAGCAGACAUAGCUGUGACUGGUUUUGUGCGUGUCUUUCUCCUAAGUAAAGUACUAGAAUCUAGGCCCUGAACGUCACAAAAGGAGAAACCAGCCACCACCGACUGUGUGCCUUCAAUGAAAGAACACAUCAGCUGAGUCUUGCUGAAAGGAUCGACCUGAGUCUGAUCAGGCUCCAGAGACAGCUGUUAAUGGGCUAGAAAUACGGAAGACAGAGGAAUGUGCUGCCCUGCACUCUGACCCGCAAUCAGCAAAAUCCAGACCAUGGGCUACACUACAAAUAAGGUCAACUUCUUCAACAGCUAAACCAUGAGGAAAACAGAUGGAGGAGGAAACUGUGGAUUACUAGAGGUUGACAAGACAAAUCAACUUUUUUGAAAAACGCAGAACUAGAGUAUCUAGAGACAUACAAGUGGGUGAUAGAACGAUGAAGAAAUUCAAGAGAGUGUCUCCCAAAAGCCAGGACGGUGAUCACUGUUGUGGGGAAAAGAGGAGGUACAUGAGGGCCUUCUGAGUGGCUGGCCAAUUUCACUUUCUUGACCUGGGUGAUGGUUACAAGGUGCUCCUCUUAUAAUUUACUGAACUUUACAUUUGUGUGAUUUACUAGAUUUUAUUUUGCAUUAAAAAGGUUUUAAAAAGAAA